rnacentral:tRNA from 1 species
UCCAUCGUGGUCCAGAGGUUAGGAUCUCUCGCUUUCAAGCUCCAAAGGAGUGGAAAGGCCCGUGAUGGCCCGGGUUCGAAUCCCGGCGAUGGAA